rnacentral:lncRNA from 1 species
UCGAGAGGUACCCCUGGGAGAUCUUCCGGAAAAACUUUAGAAAACUCAUUGAACACUCAAAUGGACUGAAUUAUUGGUGUCUCAGACUUAGUGUCUUUAACUCAAACUAGAUGGUAGAUACACCUUUUGGAAAUCCACUUUCUGGCUUUGAGAUAAGAAAUGAAAUAAUUCUUGGGAGACACUGAAUUACCUGAACACUCAGAGACUGGCUCACCUG